UACGGAGGGUGCAAGCGUUAUCCGGAUUCACUGGGUUUAAAGGGUGCGUAGGCGGGCAGGUAAGUCCGUGGUGAAAUCUCUGAGCUUAACUCAGAAACUGCCAUGGAUACUAUUUGUCUUGAAUGUUGUGGAGGUAAGCGGAAUAUGUCAUGUAGCGGUGAAAUGCUUAGAUAUGACAUAGAACACCAAUUGCGAAGGCAGCUUACUACACAAAUAUUGACGCUGAGGCACGAAAAGCGUGGGGGAUCAAACAGG
rnacentral:rRNA from 1 species